rnacentral:rRNA from 1 species
AUUGAACGCUGGCGGCAUGCCUUACACAUGCAAGUCGAACGGUAACAGGUCUUCGGAUGCUGACGAGUGGCGAACGGGUGAGUAAUACAUCGGAACGUGCCCGAUCGUGGGGGAUAACGAGGCGAAAGCUUUGCUAAUACCGCAUACGAUCUACGGAUGAAAGCGGGGGAUCUUCGGACCUCGCGCGGACGGAGCGGCCGAUGGCAGAUUAGGUAGUUGGUGGGAUAAAAGCUUACCAAGCCGACGAUCUGUAGCUGGUCUGAGAGGAUGAUCAGCCACACUGGAACUGAGACACGGCCCAGACUCCUACGGGAGGCAGCAGUGGGGAAUUUUGGACAAUGGGCGAAAGCCUGAUCCAGCCAUGCCGCGUGCAGGAUGAAGGCCUUUGGGUUGUAAACUGCUUUUGUACGGAACGAAAAGCCUCUUUCUAAUAAAGAGGGGUCAUGACGGUACCGUAAGAAUAAGCACCGGCUAACUACGUG